ACGUAAAUGUCGUACAUUAUAAAAGUACAUGUCGUAUAAAUACGGUGUGUGUGAUUUUUUUUUUUCCAUAAUUUUUAAUGAAGAAAAAACAUAACUCUUAUUAUUCAUUUUUAAUUUAGUUUCUAUUCUAGAAAAGAGAAAAAAAUUAAAUAAAUAAAUUUCAAUUUAAUAUUUUCUGUUUCUCUUUUUUAUUUUUAUUAAUUAAAUAUUUUAUAACUAAGAAUUAAAAUUAAUAAAAAAAAAAAGUUUAUAUUUACGGUUGGAAAAUUAUUAAAAUGAGAAAAUACAUAAGAAGUUUUAUAAAAAUACAACAAAAUUGAAAAUAAUUCAUAAUUUGUAUACAUAAGUAUUUUAAUAUUAUAUAUUAUGAAAAUGUUAAAACUAAAUUCAAAUAAAUAAGAAAUUAAAAAAAAAAUUUCAAUAAAAAUAAAGCAAAAAAAAAAAAAUUUUUUUUUAUUAAAAAGAAUGAAUUAAUGAAAAAUAAUAAUAAAAAUAAUAAAAAACAUUAAAAAAAUAAAUUCUCGUUAAAAUAUUAGAUAAUAGAAUAUAAAUUUUAUAUAGAAAAAUAAAUAAAAGAAAAAAAUCAAAAGAAUAUGUAAAAAAAAAAAAGUUCGGAAAGAAAAGGAGAAGAAAAGAGAAGGUAUAAAGCGCUGAAAUAUAAGCAGCAAAAAAAUGUGAAAUUAAUAAAAAAGAUAAAAAAAAAAAUAAAAGUUUGCAAAAAAACAAACAAAAAUAUUUUCUGUUUCUGUUCUGUUUUUUGUUAUUUUUUCUCAUAUUUUCAAUAUCUUUAAUUGUUUUGAUCAAAAAAAAAAAAAUCUCAUUUCUUCUAAAGAAGCUUAAUUAAUGUUUUUGAUAGUUUGUUUUUUUUUUUUCUACAUAAAAUAAAAUUUAAAAUGCAAUUUAAAAUAUGAAAAAUAAAAAAGGUUUAAUAUAAAAAAAAAAUGAAAUUAAAUUAUAUUUGAUAAAAAUUUAAAAUAAAAAAAAAAAUAUUCAGAAAACAUAAUAUUAUAAAAAAAAAUCUAGGAAACAAAAAAUUACGUAGGAAUUUCUGAGUAUGCGUAUAAAAAAAAAUCAUGUACUACAUAUAAAAUUUGUAAACAAAAUAUAAAGAGGCACAACAACAACAACAACAACAGCAACAACACAAAUCAACAACAAACCUAAAAAAGAACAAGAGAAGAAAAAUAAACAACAAAAAAAAAACCACCAACAACAAUGCAACAACAACAAAAUGUUAAUAAAAUGCAUAAAAUUAAAUACAAAAUAUAAAUUUCUUAAAAAAUAAUUGAACAAAACAAAAUUAUUUUACGAUAUUAAAUUUAAAUAAGCAAAUUACGAUCUUAAAAUACCUUAUUGAAAACAUUCCAAAUUUAUGUAAAAAAAACUAAA